rfam:Dacryopinax sp. DJM-731 SS1 chromosome Tnknown DACRYscaffold_1, whole genome shotgun sequence.
GCCCUCGUGGCCUAAUGGUUAAGGCGUUGGACUUCUAUGAUUACCUCAUCUUGGGAUCCAAAGAUUGCGAGUUCAAAUCUCGCCGGGGGCU